GGGUAGUGCACUACUUUAGACGAGGACCAUAGGGGUAGUGCACUACUUUAGACCAGGGCCAUAGGGGUAGUGCACUACUUUAGACCAGGGCCUAUAGGGGUAGUGCACUACUUUAGACCAGGGCCAUAGGGGUAGUGCACUACUUUAGACCAGGGCCAUAGGG